rnacentral:rRNA from 1 species
CAAUAGCGUAUAUUAAAGUUGUUGCAGUUAAAAAGCUCGUAGUUGAAUCUCGGUCGUCGCUUGCCGGACUGCUCUCAGAGUACGAUCUGGUGUAGUGGCGUCUUACUUGGUGAAGGCCCGUGCUGCUCUUAACUGAGUGGUCGGUGUCCGUUUGCCUCGUUUACUGUGAACAAAUUAGAGUGUUUAAAGCAGGCAUUUGCUUGAAUACAUUAGCAUGGAAUAAUGGAAUAGGACUUUGGUUCUAUUUUGUUGGUUUCUAGAAUCGAAGUAAUGAUUAAUAGGGAUAGUUGGGGGCAUUCAUAUUUAAUUGUCAGAGGUGAAAUUCUUGGAUUUAUGAAAGAUGAACUUCUGCGAAAGCAUUUGCCAAGGAUGUUUUCAUUAA